GUAGUCUAACCUGCUAGAGAUAAAUGCAGGAAUAAGUCUGUCUAAGACUGGUUUAGACAGUAAACCUUUGAUUCUAGCGAUGUUUUUGAGAUGGUAAAAGGCUGAUGAUGUUAUUGAUUUAAUGUGACUGUUAAAUUUUAGGUCUGGGUCCAUUAUUACCCCUAGAUUUCUAACUUGAUUUUUAGCUUUUAAAGUGAUAGAUGCCAGAGGAAUG